rnacentral:pre_miRNA from 1 species
GUUAAGGGGUUUGUUGUCUGGCUCGAGGCAUCCGGACUCCGGUUACAGCUUUCUCCUUUCCUCCUUGAGGUGCCUAGCUUCCGGCGAGCUCGGAGCCUCGGACCAGGCUUCAAUCCCUUUAAC